UAUAAAUAGAAAACAAUCAAUCAAUUAUCAACAUCUUUUCAAAUGAAAUUUUCUAUAUUUGUUAUUCAAUAAUACAUUUCACUUGUCACGUAUCCGACGUCCGAAUAAUUCUGAUUUUUGUCUGUUGUUGUAGGGCUUGUUUCUUGUUUGUUGUUUCUUGACCGUUAAAAACUCCAACUCCAAAACUGUUCAAUUUUAUAUUUUAUAGGUUACAUGUUGAUUGAAGACUUAUCACAAUAUUUUGAAAGUUUUUUAAUUCCAAAAUAAAUUGAAUUGAAGUUUAUUCUUCUACAUAGUUGAUAUGUUUAUGUAAAUUGAAUAAGGUAGACCAUUUAACGACAAAGUGUUUUAUAAAGUUUAUUUUAUACUUCUUUGCCUAGUUACUAAACGAUGUGUGGAUUGUGAUUCAGGCAGGUAGACAAGCAACCACCCUAGAGCCAAUGGGCAGCCGAGCGAUGAUCCUGUCACAGUAGCCAAGUGCCCCCUGUAGCUGGCACCGUCCCCAGGGGCCCGCGAGGUGGAUGGAGGCGGGAAGGCGAAAUGAAUAAGACGCCCGGUGAUGGUGAGAAUACUGAUGCUGGACUGAUGAACGUGCCAACUCCACUGAUACCUCACCAUAUUAUUUGUUUUACAUAGAGCAAUCCAAUAUUUUUUAUACACUUAUGAAGUGUAUUAUCAAUAAGCAUAAUAAAUAAUAAGAGUAUUUGAACAAACAAAAUAAACACUUGACAAGUAAUGUUAUCUGUUUAUGUAAAGAGUUUUUCACAUUUUAUACUCUGAAAUUGUUUUAUAUAAUUUCAUUAUAAUUCUCAUAAUGUGUAAUAGAUUGCAUAAAAUUGUUAUUAAAAACUCUAUUUACUGAAUAC